UAUAAAGCAGUGUUUGGGCACAAAGAGCUUUGAUUUCUUUAGUGAGACGCAAUUUCUCCUUUAUAG
rnacentral:tRNA from 1 species